rnacentral:misc_RNA from 1 species
GGAAGGAUCAUUAAUAGUUAGUCCCUUGCUUCUUUUGUCGCUUGGGCAACCAUUAAACAUCAACAACCGUGACUUGUACCAGUAAAGUGCCGUGCCUAGUAUGAAUGUACACUAAGCUCCCCUUGGGGUGCCUAGUGCUACAAUCGGACCUGACCGGCAGUAUUAAACCUUAAAUCUUACAACCUUUGUACUAUUGAUAUUUGGAUACACGAUCUAACUAACACUUAGUGAAUGUACAUAAUCCUAUACAACUGUUAACAACGGAUCACUCGGUUCUCACGUCGAUGAAGAGCGUAGCGAAUUGCGAAAAGUAAUGCGAUCUGCACCCAUCGUGAAUCAUCGAAUCCUUGAACGCACACUGCACCCAAUGGUAUCCCCAUGGGUAUGCCUGAUUGAGUACUUUUAAGAAAAUCAAAGCAUUUACUUGCUUUGGACUUGGGAUUUCCCGUUGUCUUGUAUGACGGGUCGCCUUAAAAGUAGGACAUUGUGGACUUAGUGAGCCCUCGGGCUCAUUAGUCAUCUCCGUCCUCUUGCUAUGAACUUAGUGUAAUUGUUGAGUAGGAUGUGUGGUCUUUAUGGCUGCUCUUCCUAUGACACUAUCGCUAUAGGGAAUGGUAAGUAGGGGCGGAUCAAAGGUGACUAACAAGAUCCAUGGUUGCUUGGACUUGGUGAGAGGUGCGCCGCCUUUGGGCGUGUGUGUCUCCCUCCAGACCCAACCUUCAUUUUUUAUCUCAGUCAGGUAGGAGUACCCGCUGAACUUAAGCAUAUCAGUAAGCGGAGGAAAAGAAACCAACAGGGAUUCCCCUAGUAACGGCGAGUGAAGCGGGAAUAGCUCAAAUUUGAAAUCGUGUUAAGGGAACUUAGUCACGAAUUGUAGUUUGAUGGGGUAAACUUGGUGAUCGCCUAGGUCUAAAUCCUUUGGAAAAGGGUAUCAUAGAGGGUGACAAUCCCGUCUGUGGCCUGGUUAGCGUAUUACCGUGUAAGUUGCCUUCAAAGAGUCGGGUUGUUUGGGAAUGCAGCCCUAAGCGGGUGGUAAAUUCCAUCUAAAGCUAAAUAUUCGUGAGAGACCGAUAGCGAACAAGUACCGUGAGGGAAAGUUGAAAAGCACUCUGGAGAGAGAGUCAAACAGCACGUGAAAUUGUUAACAGGGAAACGUUAGGCACCAGUACGCGCCUCGCGUAAAAUCAACCAUCUUCCUCGAGAGUUUGCCCAGGUGGAGUGAGUCUUAAACAACCACUUGCUUGGGCGUACUUGAAAGGGGUGGUGCACUUUUGCGUGGGCGGGUCAACAUCGGUUAGGACCGUUGUAAACGGCUUGAGGGAAGGUAGAUACGUGAUUCGUCUCGUAUAACUUAUAGCCCUCUUGUCCCACAGUGGUCUUGACCGUGGAGUCGCGACCCGUGCUUCCCUCGGGAGGCAGGCCCCUUUGGCUCUUUUUACUCCUCAUUCUCUGGCAGCUUGCUGACUGGGUUUGAGUUGGGUGAAGAACAGCUAGAGUAAGGCUCUAACGGGUCACGGACGUUGGCGAAAUGGUUCUUAACGACCCGUCUUGAAACACGGACCAAGGAGUCUAACAUGUGUGCGAGUAUUUGGGUGCAAAACCCAUAUGCAUAAUGAAAGUAACCACAGGGAAGAAGCCUAGGUCUCUCGGGACCUGGGCCGCAUUCUCGACCGAUCCGCUUGCCCUCGUGGCGACGGGUUUGAGUUUGAGCAUAUCUGUUAGGACCCGAAAGAUGGUGAACUAUGCCUGAGUAGGAUGAAGCCAGAGGAAACUCUGGUGGAGGUCCGUAGCGAUUCUGACGUGCAAAUCGAUCGUCGAACUUGGGUAUAGGGGCGAAAGACUAAUCGAACCAUCUAGUAGCUGGUUCCCGC